CUCAUUUGUGCUAGAGCCUUCUAAAGUCCUCCCUCUCACCUACCGACAAGUUUUGAUCUCCCUACAAGAGUAGCUGGCGUUGACAGAGUUUGAAGGUCACCAUAGUGUCGCCGUUGAUCGAAACUGCAUAUGCGCUGCCAUUCCGCUGUUUGGAGCGUACUUACUCUGAAACCGUCAUUGGAGGAGGAACUACAAGAGGUUACUGAGAAGUAUGUUUGCGAUUGGAUUUUGGAUGUUGACAAUGUGUGGAGUGAUGAAGUGUUGCAAGAUUUAGGGUUAUUGUAGAUGUUGUUCAAUACAGAUUCUUGCAAUGUAAUUUAUGGUUUUUUUAGAACUGUUUC
rnacentral:sRNA from 1 species